GGGGGUUUAGCUCAGCUGGCUAGAGCACCUGCUUUGCAAGCAGGGGGUCAUCGGUUCGAAUCCGAUAUCCUCCACCA
rnacentral:tRNA from 1 species